AAAAUAUCUCUUCUUUUAUCGUUCUUUCGCUCCGUUUCGCCUUCUUAAACCCUUAACGCAUCACACGUCACACUGAAUCGCUCCCUACUAGUCCCUAGCAUCAAGCGCACCGUCGUGAGGCUGUGGACCAGCGCAACCGUCUCACCGGAACUCUUAGGGCCGCCGUCGCUCUUGAAUUCAUUGUUGCACCAGCGUCCGAAGCAUCUCCGCCUUCACACCGAAGACAUGAAUUUGAUGCUUCUGCUGCAUAGCAUGCAUCGGUGGAAUUGGAGAAAAUGCAGACAUCAAGUUGGAGCACCCAAGGAAGUUGAAUUAUAAUUAAUAAACCCAUUGAUGGACCUGUCAUUGUUAAAUGAACAGACAAGACACAUGAAUGCAAGGAUAAUUUCAAGUAUAUUGUUCACUUGGUUCUGUCUGCUAGUUUUUGUUAAAGCAGAAUAAAGUGUGCCGCACAUGCAAGAACAAACCAAAACCAUUUAUCAAUCUGUGGAUUUCAGGACUGGUAAGUUCAUGCUGAUUUUAAGAGUUUCGUACUUUUUUAUAGAAAUGAAAAUGAC
rnacentral:sRNA from 1 species